AGAGUUUGAUCCUGGCUCAGGACGAACGCUGGCGGCGCGCUUAACACAUGCAAGUCGAGCGAUAACCAUGGCUUCGGCUAUGGGGAGAGCGGCGAACGGGUGAGUAACACGUGAGCGAUCUGCCCUCGACACUGGGAUAGCCCGGGGAAACCCGGAUUAAUACCGGAUAGCCUCUCGGGUCUGCGGGCCCGUGAGAAAAGAUGGCUUCGGCUUUCGGUUGAGGAGGAGCUUGCGGCGGAUUAGCUUGUUGGUGAGGUAACGGCUCACCAAGGCGACGAUCCGUAGCUGGUCUGAGAGGACGAUCAGCCACACUGGGACUGAGACACGGCCCAGACUCCUACGGGAGGCAGCAGUGAGGAAUAUUGGACAAUGGGCGCAAGCCUGAACCAGCGACGCCGCGUGGAGGACGAAGGCCCUCGGGUCGUAAACUCCUUUUGCGUGGGAAGAAGAUCUGACGGUACCACGCGAAUAAGCCACGGCUAACUACGUGCCAGCAGCCGCGGUAAUAC
rnacentral:rRNA from 1 species